rnacentral:rRNA from 1 species
UACAGAGACUGCAAGCGUUAUUCGGAUUCACUGGGCGUAAAGGGUGCACAGGCGGUUGGGUGUGUCAGAUGUGAAAUCCCGAGGCUUAACCUCGGAACUGCGUCUGAAACUACUCGACUAGAGUACUGGAGAGGGAAACGGAAUUCACGGUGUAGCAGUGAAAUGCGUAGAUAUCGUGAGGAACACCAGAGGCGAAGGCGGUUUCCUGGACAGUUACUGACGCUCAGGCACGAAAGCAUGGGGAGCAAAAGGG